AUUGAACGCUGGCGGCAGGCCUAACACAUGCAAGUCGAACGGAGCGGCGGACGGGUGAGUAAUGCCUAGGAAUCUGCCUGGUAGUGGGGGAUAACGUCCGGAAACGGGCGCUAAUCCCGCAUACUAUCAGAUUAGCCUAGGUCGGAUUAGCGGGUUGGUGGGGUAAAGGCCUACAAAGGCGACGAUCCGUAACUGGUCUGAGAGGAUGAUCAGUCACACUGGAACUGAGACACGGUCCAGACUCCUACGGGAGGAAGCAGUGGGGAAUAUUGGACAAGGGGCGAAAGCCUGACCCAGCCAUGCGGCGUGGGUGAAGAAGGUCUUCGGAUUGUAAAGCACGUUAAGUUGGGAGGCGGUAACAACAGAAUAAGCACCGGCUAACUUCGUGCCAGCAGCCGCGGUAAUUC
rnacentral:rRNA from 1 species